UACGUAGGGUGCAAGCGUUAUCCGGAAUUAUUGGGCGUAAAGAGCUCGUAGGCGGUUUGUCGCGUCGGCUGUGAAAACUCGGGGCUCAACCCCGAGCCUGCAGUCGAUACGGGCAAACUAGAGUGCUGUAGGGGGGACUGGAAUCCUGUGUAGCGGUGAAAUGCGCAGAUAUCAGGAGGAACACCGAUGGCGAAGGCAGGUCUCCUGGCAUUAACUGACGCUGGAGGAGCGAAAGCAUGGGAGCGAACAGGA
rnacentral:rRNA from 1 species